UUUUUUUUUAAAUUAUAUUUCUUGUCCCCGAUAAUACUUGUCAUGUCUGGCUCACAGAUUGGUUGGGGUUAACUGAUAUGGGGAAGACACAGCACAAAGCAAGAAAAAUUAACAGCGAGUGAGUCUUAUCUUUAGCGGAUUUUGGGUACGUUGCAACUUCCAUUCUGGAUCCGGAGAGGUGUCUGCGGACUCCUGUGGAUGUGCAGUCUUCACGUGGGAAGCAUGGAUCUAAGCAGCGAUGCCGUCCACUUUGAGUGCAGUAGGAGUGGUCAGCAGGAUAGUGUAGGGUCCUUUCCACCGCGGUUCGAGGUUCCUGCUCUGGUGCCUGCGUACCCAGACGGUAUCUCCGACCUUGAAGGGAUGUGGCAGCAAGGGGGUUUUAAGUUCCUCUUUGUAUGCUGCGGCUAGAGGCUUCCAGACCUCGUUCUGGACCAAUUGCAAAGCAUGCAAAUGAGUCUGCAUAGAUGGGGUGAGGGAGGCAUAGGUUUUAGUUUUAUAAAAGUUAAUAGCGGGAGGUGGGGCAUCGUACAGGAUUUUAAAUGGGGUUAGUCCAUGUGGGCCUGGGGUGUUUUGGGCCCCAUACAAGACUAAAGGUAGGAGUUGUACCCAGUCUCUAGUGCCAGUUUUAAGUGUCAAUUUAGUUAAAGUCUCCUUAAUGGUUCUAUUUAUCUUUUUUACCUGUCCUGAACUUUGGGGUCUAUAACUAUAAUGUAAUUUUUAAUUAAUCUCCAAUGUAUUGGCUACCGCCUGACUUACCUGGGAGACGAAGGCAGGCCCAUUAAAUGUUUUUUUUUUUGGUCCUCAUUAUCAGGAUCAAAGGGAGUAAACCUCCGAUAAGCCUCUUUUAAUUUCUCUAAGAAGGCUGUCGGAGUUUCCUCUGACCCCUGGAUAGUCUGUCUUACCUGAGCCAAAUUGGUGGGCUGUCGCCCUGCUCCAUGGAGACCCCCCCUGCUCCAUGGAGACCCGCUAUGAGUAACUGGCGAUAGAGAUGUAGGUGGUUCUCACCUGCUUCAGUCGCAUAGUCCCAGUUUGGCCGGGUUAAAGGAAAAGCUUCGUUAAUCAAAUUUGUGAGUUGGGUGGGGCGCCCGUCGUCCCCUGGCACAUUUUUGCGAGCUUCCAAAAGAGCCUUUUGUUUUUCCUCUGUGUCUAAUAGAGAAAUCUUUAAUUCUGCUACUUAGGGCUGGAUAACCAUAUUAGCAAACAUCAAGUCUACCUGUGUUGUCUAGAAAUAAAAGCCUUAGACUAAAACUAUUCUAGUAGUUCCUUUGACAGUUAUCAGGCAUUUCUGUCUAAGAAUCUCUCUUGUAGCCUCCAGUCUAUUUAUUUAUGGAAGUUACAUUUAAUUAUUAUUAUCAUUUAAGAUGUCCAGGAACAGCUGUGCUUUGGCUUUGACUGUCUUUGCUAAGUGUUUAAGAUGAAGCAAGUCAAACUGACUUUUGUUUCUACCUAUUGUUUACAGUCAGCUGAGUUAUCCUGGGAGUCCUCGGGAACUUCAUAGCAGCUUUUCAGUUCUGCUAGUGCCAUUUGCGCUAGGAUGGGUCCAGGCCUUG
rnacentral:lncRNA from 1 species